CUAAUAAAUAUUUGUUAAACGAUUAAGUAUUAAUUAAAUAAAUAUAAAAUUAAUCUAUCUAAACAAACUCCAAUAACUUAACUUUUAAAAAAGAUUAUUAAUGUUGUGAUUUUUAUUCAUGUGUUUUGUAGAUUAAAUGUAGAUCUUAUAUACUUGUUUUCUAAAAUUAAUAAUUUCUGCAAAAAAAAAAAGAAGGAAUGCUUGUCGUGAGCAAAAACCAAAAAAAUAUGGAUUCUAGCUUUUAAGCACAAAACAAUAAAACAAAGGAAAAACUAGUUUCCCUAAAAAAUAGAGAAUCUACUUUGCUAAAAUCAUUAUUGGGUAAAAAACAGUUUUUAGAAAAUCAAAAAUCAAAAACUACUUUGAAAACUACAAACAAUCAACCUCUAUAUACUCUGUCUGAUAAUUUUUAUCUUUUUUUUAUUUUUAUAAUUUUUUUUUAUUAUUUUUCUUAGAAACUUUGAGUUAAAACUCCAUUGAUGGAGGUGCUAUUAUGGAUGCUGGUAGAGAGAAAUAGGAAAGGCAAAGCGCAACAAUAAGAUCUCGAAGAAGUCAAUUCCUUAAAUAACUGAUUUUAGGGGUAAUAUCAUCAUUUUAAUAGUUGAAGAUGCCAGGCGGCUAUCGCGUGAAUGAGCCUAAUAAACUGGAGAAAGCUUUGUCUGUGACGGAAAAUAUAUCACAGACGAAUUAUCAAAAAGGCAUUCUUCAGAAAAGAAAAAGCUUCAGAGCUCGUGACCUAAUGAACCCCACCGCCUAGUAACACUAUCAAUGCUCACCGGAACGUUGUGCCUCCUCUUACAAUUUCUGUUGCUGCGUUUCUUCUCGACAUCCGAAGAUGGGAAGCAGUUCACCUCCUUUUUCCAUAUUGGCAAGAAAGCCAAAGGUGUAAGUUAGUAGAUGUUGAACAUUACCAAAAGAAUUUGCGGUUCCAUUGUUUCUCAGUGUUGGUCAUUUAUUGACUGUUUGAAAAUUACAUGUUGAGUGUCAUUGGAACGGUAUGUUGGAUCAUUUACCGUAUUAUAUAUAGAAAACAUAAUUUGCGUAAAAUCACCUGUUGAAAAUUAUCAUGCCUACAAAUACAAUGUCGAACCUGUGCUGCUACAUGUUUUAAAAGACCAAAGCUAGAGAUCCAUACCAUAAAAUGUGUUAUUUGAGAGAACUAAUCAACUCAAAUUUACAUGGGAUUACUAAAUAAUACAUGCCUGCUUGCAUGCUUUUGAUUCGCAAAAUGGGUUCAGUAUUAAGUAGAAGCAUGAUCUAUGAAGGCAAUAUAUCCAGCCAAUGCAACAUACUUCGGUUUCCAAACAUGUCCUUUGUUGUGAUUCUGGUGUCAUCGAAGAUAGGGUUGUUUGGCUCACUCCUGCUUUUAUCAAAUGUUCUUAAUUUACUUUGAACCUCUGUAACUUUACUGCAUAUAGAUAUAUUCUUUCCGACAGGAAUUGGUGGCCACUUGGAAUAGUGGAAUAAGUUCUUUAUGUAUUUUCUGCCAGCGGAAGACUGAAACUCGAGGACACAUUUUCUUUGAUUGUGCGUUCUCUGAGGAAAUGUGGUCACUCUUAACAUGAGGGCUUCUAGAUUCUCAAUUCACUAAGGCUUGGGGAGAUCUUAUGGACACCACUCUGGAUCAAAAAUCAGGGUUUUUAUUGCGUUACUCUUUUUAGUUCACUCUUCACUUCAUAUGGCGGGAGAGGAAAAAUAGACGUCAUGGAGCAACGCCUAUGGUCGCCGCCUCUCUGGUUAAGAUGCUUGAUAGGCAGGUUCGGAACUGGUGGUUAACGGUAUCUGCUACAGGCCAUUGAAAAUAUGAAGCUCUGCUGAAGCUCUGCUGCAGCAUUGGUUUGAUUCAAGAGUCUAGACUCUGUUUUUGCUGUUUUUGCUUAAUUAUCUACUUUUUUCUAGAAAUCAGUUAGAUCCAACACGAUACAAUUGAUGUACAAAAAGUUAGUUUUUUUUCUGAAUGAAUUUUACAUAUGAUCAAAAAAAAAGAUGAUUUAUUUUCUGGCGAUAUAAUCACACUGUACAAAGGUCAAAACACCAUUGUUGAUCUGAAAAUUGACAGCCGCUCAAGUGUAAGUAAAUAUUUGUAGUGAUACAAGAUUUAUCUUCUUUUGCACCUUCACUGUCCUUGACAUUUUAACUUUAGUGCAUUUGAAUAUAUAAUAUUUUGCAUUUAUUAAAUAUGUAAUUCUAUAAGAUAUUAUUUAAUUUUAGCUAUUUUAACUCUUUUCGCUAUGAAUUUUUAAUAAAAUCUCUGUAAUUUAUUUGAUUAAUCUUAUGAUAUAUUUUGAUCAAAGUUUAAUUAUAAAAUUUAUUUGAUGUCAAUUUACUGCAUUUUAUUUAUAUACAGUAUUUAAUUUAAUAUUAAAGUUUAUUUUAAUUUAAAUGAAUCUAAUUUUUUACUUAUGAAUUUAUAAAUAAAUAAUCCAUUAAUUUAAUUGAUUUGAUUUUCAAUUUUUCAUAAAUUAUUUGAAUGGUUUAGUCAAUCAUAAUGUUUUAUAUUGUUUGGACACUAUUUUAAUAAUUAUGUUGUUUAGAAACAUACAUAGUAGUAUAAUAUUGUUUCCAUAAUUAUUUUAUAAUAUAAUUUAAAAUCCUACAAGAAUGUUGGGUCCAAGGGAAUGUUUCUAUUUUAAUAAGAUAUAUUUUUUACUUAAAAAUAAUCAAUUUAUUUAAUUGAUUUAAUAUUCAUUUUUUAUUAAUUAUUUGAUUAUUUUAGUCAAUUAUAAUGUUUUAUAUUGUUUGGCCACAAAAUUAAUUACUAUUUGUUUGAAAACUUAGAUAGUAAUAUAAUAUUUUUUUCAUAAUUACUUUAUAAUAGAGGAGUGUACUUAGUUUAAAAUCCUACAAAAAAAAUGUUGGGUCCAAAGAAGUUUAUUUACUAAGGCAGUACAAUUAACUGAUAUUUAGGGACCAUAACAUAUCAAAUUUCACAUAUCAAAUGAAAUUUGACCAAAAACGGUACCGGAGUUUAUUUUCUAAGGCAGUACAAUUAAUUAUACAAAUGGACCAUAACAUGUCACAUGAAAUUUAUUAUGUUUUGUCUCCCUCAUUCGAAUGAUAGCCAUUCGGUAAUAGCAUUGUCCAGUAUAAAGGUCGGAUGUUUGCUUCACCAUCUCACUCUGUUUCCAUUUAAUUUUCUGGAUAGCACUCUUUGUUUAAUUCUCUGAUCUGCUUCUUGGAAUUUUAAAAUGUCCUCUGUUUAAGGAAGAAGGAAAAAACUGAUAGAUAAAUAAAAGUAAGGUUAAAAAAUACCUAAUCAUAGUGAUAGAAAACGCGUGGGAUGAGAUAAAACCUGACAUUAUAGGGGAAAGUUAAUGCAAUAAUUUUAGAUACUAUAGAUUUGAAUGGUAACCAAGAGAACGAAGAAAAAAUACUACAUUCCUUAAUGUUUCUUAAAAAGAUUACUAUUUAUGAGGAAUAUUUUUUCCUCUUCCUUUUUUUUUUUUUUUUUUGAAACACAACUUUUUGUUAACUUCAACUUGCUUGAUUACAAAUGAUAGAGGGAAUUGUCCAUCCUCUUUGAUUGAAAACAUCAACUACAACAACAUAAGAUAACAAAGAUAGGUCUUCAAAAGAAUAAGAUGACAGCAAACUCAAGACGGUGCUUGAACCGUGGAAGAGGUCGUCUAGGGUUAAAGCUUUCACCAUGAGACAGCAUCAACGAAAGACUAUGGCUUGCGAGAGGUGGAUUUGGUGGCAGAUCUGACCGGUAAAAACCAGAUCCGUAGCAACGAACGAUUCUCUCCCCAAAAUGGGGUUGAUAAUCGCCGGUGGGAAGCUCGGCGUUAGUGGUAGGUGGAUAUGUUGAGACACGGCGUUUGCGAAAGAUGAAAGAUGCAGUGGAGGAAGAUGACAGGGGAACCCCCCAAGAAUGGUUGGAUCUGGUGACACCAAACCCGUAAAUGAGCAGCCAAACACUGUAACUUUCGACGACAACCAUUUUUCGAGAAGAAACAUCGACAGAAGUUACAACGGUGGCCAAAGAAACUACAAACACAGAGUAAACGUAGAAGAAACAAGGAGUAGAACAACCAAGAGUGAGGGAGGCUCGACGCCAGCGGUUUGAGAUCCCACCGGCGUCAAGAAACGAUG